rnacentral:rRNA from 1 species
CGGGUGGCUGCAGUGAGGAAUAUUGGUCAAUGGGCGAGAGCCUGAACCAGCCAAGUCGCGUGAAGGAUGACGGCCCUACGGGUUGUAAACUUCUUUUGUCAGGGAGCAAUUGGGUCCACGCGUGGGCUUAGCGAGAGUACCUGAAGAAAAAGCAUCGGCUAACUCCGUGCCAGCAGCCGCGGUAAUACGGAGGAUGCGAGCGUUAUCCGGAUUUAUUGGGUGUAAAGGGCGUGUAGCCGGGCUGACAAGUCAGAUGUGAAAUCCGGGGGCUCAACCCCCGAACUGCAUUUGAAACUGUUGGUCUUGAGUAUCGGAGAGGCAGGCGGAAUUCCUAGUGUAGCGGUAAAAUGCGUAGAUAUUAGGAGGAACACCAGUGGCGAAGGCGGCCUGCUGGACGACAACUGACGGUGAGGCGCGAAAGCGUGGGGAGCAAACAGGAUUAGAUACCCGAGUAGUC